GUGGGUGACAAGAGUAGAUAAUGUCUGUGGAUAAUGAAACAAAACCUUUUUCUUUGUGUCCCGGGGCCAGUAUUCUGGGGACCUGGGCAGCGGGGAGCAGAGAAGGGCGGCUGGAACAAACUUCUCUUUGAUGGCUGAAGCAGGAAGACCUUGGGGGAAAAGCAAACAGAAAAAGCCCAGAAAAGACGGACUUGAGCCACAGCUCUGACAAGGAUAACAGCUUAUUCGUAUUUGAAGAGGGUCCCACCCCAGAGUCUCUUGGUCAGCGAGGCAGAGGUGGAGCUUGGCAUUGGUUUGGGACAACGCUUCCCAGGGGACUCCAACAUGGUCCCGGGUUGACAGCGUUGUCCUGAGGCUCCAGGAAUCCCAGAAGAAGAUCUCGGGCUUUCAAGGAGCAAAUGUGUUCUACUCGAGCACUGAAAACAAGGAAAUCCAAGCCAGGCUCCCACUCCAGGGCACCUCGUCAACCUGGAGACCAGGCCAGACCCAAUGGGAUCGUUAGGAUGCUGUCGCUGUGUCUCAGGAAUC
rnacentral:lncRNA from 1 species